rnacentral:rRNA from 1 species
UACGUAGGGCGCAAGCGUUGUCCGGAAUUAUUGGGCGUAAAGAGCUCGUAGGCGGCCAGUUGCGUCCGCUGUGAAAUCCCGGGGCUUAACCCCGGGCGUGCAGUGGAUACGGGCUGGCUGGAGGCAGGCAGGGGAGAACGGAAUUCCUGGUGUAGCGGUGAAAUGCGCAGAUAUCAGGAGGAACACCGGUGGCGAAGGCGGUUCUCCGGGCCUGUACUGACGCUGAGGAGCGAAAGCGUGGGGAGCGAACAGG